UACGGAGGGAGCUAGCGUUGUUCGGAAUUACUGGGCGUAAAGCGCGCGUAGGCGGCUUUGUAAGUUAGAGGUGAAAGCCCGGGGCUCAACCCCGGAAUUGCCUUUAAGACUGCAUCGCUUGAAUCCGGGAGAGGUGAGUGGAAUUCCGAGUGUAGAGGUGAAAUUCGUAGAUAUUCGGAAGAACACCAGUGGCGAAGGCGGCUCUCUGGGACGGUACUGACGCUGAGACGCGAAAGCGUGGGGAGCGAACAGG
rnacentral:rRNA from 1 species